CUGCUCUUCUUCAAUAGCUGGUGGAUGAGAGUCGAAUGUCCCAGCAUUCUGUAAUGAAAAAAAUAAAAUAAUAUUAGUAAGUUUCAAUAUGAAGGUGUAUCUUUUGGUAUGGAGGCAUAUCUUUCGAUAUACUCUUUUAAUUCUUGAAUAAAUUAUUUUUAUAUAUUUUAUUCAAUGAUACAGAGCUAUAGACACCUCCAGCCCAUCGAUUGGAUGGUUAGAUUGAAUUUUUAGCUCCUAAAUCUCCUUCCCGGACUCAAACAUAAAUAUAUGAAGUUUCUAAACAUGAAAACUUAAAACAAGUAAAAGAGUUUAGUAAUAUAA
rnacentral:lncRNA from 1 species